rnacentral:rRNA from 1 species
GUCUAUGGCCAUGCCACCCUUGACAAACCCAAUCCUGUCUGAUCUCAGAAGCUAACUCGGGCCUGGUUAGUUCUUGGAUAGGAGACCACCUAGGAAGACCAGGUGCUGUAGGCA